rnacentral:rRNA from 1 species
GCCCUCUGAUGUCUGUCUAAUGGCAGGUGCCUUCCCUUGGGGUUGGUAUGUGUGAUGCGCUUACCAUGUGCCGCACGCAUUGAGGGUUAUGGGUCUGCUUGUCAGUGCACUUUCUCAGAGUGUUCACCACGACCGGCACAGCCGUCUGUCUGCUUUGAUCAAACUGAUCAGGUCUGGUUAAUGCUAGGCUUGGUUAGGAUGGCAGGUAGCUCAUGUUCAUUUGAUGGACUUUGGGUAUAAUGAGCUGGCCAUUGUGGAUCUGUACGGUGUGUCGGAGAUAGCGGCUUUACAUGCGUGCUCUGUCCUUUUGGCGGGAUUGAGUCCGGUCGGCUGGUUACUGACUUCGGUUAGUCGGUCGAUGGCUUAGUCUCGUUCAUUGGGCGGUUGCGUGUGUGACUUGGUUUGGGCCAAUAGUCUGUGGUGUAGUGGUAGACGAUCCACCUGACCCGUCUUGAAACACGGACCAAGGAGUUUAACAUAUGCGCGAGUCAUUGGGCUAUACGAAACCCAAAGGCGAAGUGAAGGUAAAGGUUUGGCUUGUCCGAACUGAGGUGAGAUCCCGUUUGUUUGCCUGUUUAAUUUCCAAGUUGCGAAUAGCGGGCGCAUCACCGGCCCGUCCCAUGGCGUA